UCAGGGCCUAUAAAAUCCCAACGCACAACCAACUAAUAUAGGGUAAACUACAUAAAUGACCCUUAUAAUUGGUGGCUUUGUUUUUUUGUCCCUCAUAAGAAUGGUCAUACAAAUUUGUCUCCCUUCGUUUUUUUAUAUAGCACAAUUUCCUAUUUGUCCUUCAGUAAUUCAAAUAUUUCUCAACAACUCCUUACUUUUUUCUCUUUUUUAUUUUACUUUAGUUUUUAUCUUUUUUUGUUUCUCUCUCUCUUUUUUUUAGUUUUUCUCAUUCCUUACUAUUUUCUCCUCUCAACUUCUAUUUUUUCUUAAUUCUUUUUCUUUUAUUUUACUUUGAUUUUUUUCUU
rnacentral:lncRNA from 1 species